AGACAAGCACUGAACACAAAGCGAACUAUUCUUUCGCCUUUUACUAAAGAAUACCGUGUGUUCUUUGCAAUACGUGGCAUACAUUUAUUUUUGUUAGGUCCUCUAAUCGGAGGCA